rnacentral:rRNA from 1 species
UACGGAGGGUGCAAGCGUUAUUCGGAAUUAUUGGGCGUAAAGGGCGCGUAGGCGGCUUCUUAUGUCAGAUGUGAAAUCCCGGGGCUUAACCCCGGAAGUGCAUUUGAAACUAAGUGGCUUGAGUAUGGGAGAGGGAAGUGGAAUUCCUGGUGUAGAGGUGAAAUUCGUAGAUAUCAGGAGGAACACCGGUGGCGAAGGCGACUUCCUGGACCAAUACUGACGCUGAGGCGCGAAGGCGUGGGGAGCAAACAGG